GUGGCAUGCGGCAGCUACCAUGCAGUCGAGCGGUAACAGAUCCAGCUUGCUGGAUGCUGACGAGCGGCGGACGGGUGAGUAAUGCAUAGGAAUCUGCCCGAUAGUGGGGGAUAACCUGGGGAAACCCAGGCUAAUACCGCAUACGUCCUACGGGAGAAAGGGGGCUUCGGCUCCCGCUAUCGGAUGAGCCUAUGUCGGAUUAGCUAGUUGGUGAGGUAACGGCUCACCAAGGCCACGAUCCGUAGCUGGUCUGAGAGGAUGAUCAGCCACAUCGGGACUGAGACACGGCCCGAACUCCUACGGGAGGCAGCAGUGGGGAAUAUUGGACAAUGGGGGGAACCCUGAUCCAGCCAUGCCGCGUGUGUGAAGAAGGCCCUCGGGUUGUAAAGCACUUUCAGCGAGGAAGAACGCCUAGCGGUUAAUACCCGCUAGGAAAGACAUCACUCGCAGAAGAAGCACCGGCUAACUCCGUGCCAGCAGCCGCGGUAAUACGGAGGGUGCAAGCGUUAAUCGGAAUUACUGGGCGUAAAGCGCGCGUAGGUGGCUUGAUAAGCCGGUUGUGAAAGCCCCGGGCUCAACCUGGGAACGGCAUCCGGAACUGUCAAGCUAGAGUGCAGGAGAGGAAGGUAGAAUUCCCGGUGUAGCGGUGAAAUGCGUAGAGAUCGGGAGGAAUACCAGUGGCGAAGGCGGCCUUCUGGACUGACACUGACACUGAGGUGCGAAAGCGUGGGUAGCAAACAGGAUUAGAUACUCUGGGGUAGUCAG
rnacentral:rRNA from 1 species